UUGGCAGCCCUGGCAACUGAGUCCCCUCGUUUAGCCACAGAACAGGUACAGCACAGGGCAGUGGCAGUGCAAGCUCCCCUGCCCUUUGCAGCUCACCAGCUCUUCAGUCAGGAACUGGAGGGGCUCCAUGUGCACGGGAGAAAUUCACCUUGGCACACAAAGCCUAGAAUGGC
ensembl:misc_RNA